rnacentral:rRNA from 1 species
UACCCGCAGCUCAAGUGGUGGUCAUUAUUAUUGGGCUUAAAGCGUCCGUAGCUGGCUUGUUAGAUGCCUGGGUAAAUCGAUGCGCUUAACGCAUCGAAUUCCGGGUAGACCGGCAAGCUCGAGACCGGGAGAGGCGUGAGCUACUCAAGGGGUAGGGGUAAAAUCCUGUAAUCCUUUGGGGAGGACCAGUGGCGAAGGCGUCACGCUAGAACGGCUCUGACAGUGAGGGACGAAGCCCUGGGGCGCAAACGGG